GGGGUUUGUCCCAUCACCGCCGCCACUCCACCAAAUCCCUCUCGGGAUCCAUCCCCUCCUCGAUUUCACACCAGCCAACCAAAACCAAUCCCUCCCGAUCCACCCAUUCCACUAGCAACCAGAGGAGCCCGAGCCAUCCUGCAGCUGCCUCCUCCAAUCAUGGCGCCACCAGCCAUGGAAGUCCACCACCGAGCCGCCCCGUGCCGUCCUAGAGCCUCCUUCUCUGUUGACCGUGCCCAUCACCGCCAAGUCACGGUCAUGUUCCCGCCGUCCGCUGCCCUGUUCGAGUGCCCGCGUGGACCUGCGCCGCCAAGCUCCUCCCAUGGCCGCCUCCACCCGAGAGUCACCAGCAGGACCCCGUCAAGCCGUGCUUGUGCUCCUGUCGCCCCUGUCCAGGAGCUCCACGAGGAGAGGAGCUCCUCUUCGUCGCCCCAAGAAGCAGCCGCGCCCGAGCGCUCCUCUCCACGCCAGCGUUGUACUACUCGGGGACCGGCUCCCCUCAUCGGAUCCGGCCUUAUCCCGUCCUCUCCUCCCGGCAUCUCUCUCUGAUUCCUUCCCCUGCUCCCUCAUUGAAUUGCUCUCUCUGUUCUUUUCUUCAGGCAACGGCAACUACCACUACUCCCCAUGGAGCUCCGCCAUCGACCGGCUCUAGCGCCGACCCACCAGAUCUGGCCUCCCCUCGCCUUCUCCGCGUCGCUGCCCAAGCCGCUUGUGUCCUCUGCUUCCAGGACGAGCAGAGCAGCUCGCCCGACCCCUCGCCCGUUGACCGAUCGACCUGGGCUCCCAGAUCCAGCCGGCCCAGCGCUGCCGCACCAAGCCCAGCCAGCCGACCUGCUACCUCUUCCACCGAGCCGGGCUUUGGCCCAUGUGAGCAGUUUCCCCAGCCCAGUAGUGUUUUUUUAGGUUCAGCAAUUUUGUCUAUUUUUCCAGGGAAUUCCAGUUUUGCAGAUCAGCCCCAAAACUUCAUGCAUAUAAUAACUUAAAAACCGUGCAUCGAAUUAAAACAAAUUAUAUAUGAAACUUGCUUAAAAUUGUGUGUAUAUUAAUAUUUUGCAACUUUCAUCUAUGUUUGAAAUGUUUAAAAUGUCGUUUGGUUAAAUUUGCUCCCAUGCCAUGUUAAAAUGAUUUAUUUCAUAACUACUUAACCGUAGCUCGGUUUUAAAUAAACUUUAUAUGUAAAUGGGGUGGAAAAAUUCCUAGUUUAACAUGGUGACAUUGAUUUGCAUGUUUAACAACUAUAAAAAUUGUGUUAGGGCAGAAAAGUGCCAAACCUUAAAACAUGCACAUGAGGAGUUUCCGGACUUGUUGUUUGUUGUUCCGGCCUCAUUUAAACUUGCCUAGAUUGGUAGUUUUCAUUUGCUUCACCCCUUGCCAUGUUAAUCAACAUUUAAUAUUGUUGGGUACAUAAAUGGGAGAGAACUAAAUAAGUCAUGUGGUGUUUUCGUCAAUAUGCAACUCGUUGCAUAUUGAGAUCCACUUAAUUUGUAGGUUUGUUUGUGCAUUUUGCCAUGCCAUGUAUUUUUAAACCGGACAUGCAUCAUACUUGUUUGCGCAUCAUGCCAUGCUUAUAUUAUGAUUGUUUACUAUGUUGUUUGCUUUCUUUCCGGUGUACUUCUUCUCGUUGAUCCGGUAACGUUGCGUUUGUCAGGAUAUGUUGGCUACGUCCGUUUGUCUUCUUCAUGGACUUGUUCUUCUUCCUUGCGGGAUCUUAGCUUGCAGGUACCGUUGAACCGUGCGGGUGACGCAACCAAGCUCAAGGAGGAGCUCGAUGAAGAUUGUGUUCGCUAUGUUGUUCCGUUCCCAGUUGAUCAGUAGUGGAGCCCAGUUGGGACGAUCGGGGAUCUGUGUAGCAUUUGGGGUAGUCUUCUUUUAUUUUGGGUUCCGUAGUCGGACCUUGUUUGUAUCUGGUUGAUGUAAUGUUAUAUUCAUGUAUUGUGUGAAGUGGCGAUUGUAAGCCAACUAUGUAUCUUUUC
rnacentral:rRNA from 1 species